UUGAUGGCAUGUCAACCACCCAGAGGAAGCCCCGUACAUCACAAAGCCGGCUUCGUCCUCACACUGUUUACAGGACCCUCGUGAUACGUGCUUCUCGUCUCCUUAAACGUGCGUCUGCCCGGAAGGACAUACUGAGUGAAACGUGCUUCUUCAAUCAACGGCAACUCAAUUAAAAUCGACCAGGACGCUUUUCUCAGUUCCCUUCCAUUCCAAAGUAUUAAUGGAUACCCACCAGGAGCUUGUCUUCUAAUGGAGAGUGAAAAGGACUUUGCACGGUGUCUCAUGCUUAGCAGCGGUUCUAUAAACUUCUGGUGAUUCCAUGCAAGAGGAAAUGGUGUCAAUGACACGAGAUAAAAGCACUCAUGCAAGAAAGAACUGGCUGAGGACAUAUUUAAAACAAAAGGGAACACUUCUCUCAGACUCAUCAAGAUGUAUACAUGGAACACGUUCAGCUUUGCCGCACGCCCCUCAAACCUCAAUAAAUGCAUUGAAACAGAGGGGCGCCAUUGCUGUAAGGACACUCAUUGGCGAAUGCUGCAUCUUAUUUCAAUUCUAGUCGGCAACCCCCAAUCCCACCAUGGCAUAACUCCAUUACAGAAAAUAAAACAAAUAAAUUCAGCAGGAUGACAAGGAACAAUAGCAGGGGCCAAAAGGAA